AAAAAAUGGGGUGCUGAAAAGAAGAUGACAUAAAUCUAGCUCCAAUCGAUAUUGAAAAGUCUGUCCGAAAGGAGGAUUUAAAAUUUUUCACAUGUGGAUCCGUCUCAAAAAAACAAUAUCUAAAAUCGGCCUCAAACAAAAGAAAGGAUACCAAUUUAUUACCAAUACACGAGGAGGGAGAAAAAUGUUAAUUAUGGGCCGUUUCCG
rnacentral:lncRNA from 1 species